rnacentral:rRNA from 1 species
GUAGGGUGCGAGCGUUAAUCGGAAUUACUGGGCGUAAAGCGUGCGCAGGCGGUNNGUUAAGACCGAUGUGAAAUCCCCGGGCUUAACCUGGGAACUGCAUUGGUGACUGGCAGGCUUUGAGUGUGGCAGAGGGAGGUAGAAUUCCACGUGUAGCAGUGAAAUGCGUAGAGAUGUGGAGGAAUACCGAUGGCGAAGGCAGCCUCCUGGGCCAACACUGACGCUCAUGCACGAAAGCGUGGGGAGCAAACAGGAUUAGAUACCCUGGUAGUCCACGCCCUAAACGAUGUCAACUAGUUGUUGGGGAUUCAUUUCCUUAGUAACGUAGCUAACGCGUGAAGUUGACCGCCUGGGGAGUACGGUCGCAAGAUUA